UGGCAGCGUGGAUUAGGCAUGCAAGCGAACGGGAGUCCGGGGGAGUAGCAAUAUUCCCGGUGAGAGUGGCGGAUGGGGAGGAACACGUGAGCAACCUGCCCUGGAGAUGUGGAAAACCGUGGAAACGACGGCUAAUACGGAAUGUGGCGUCCGAUGGCAUCAUCGGAACGCUGAAGGGGGCCCCCAAAGGCUCCCGCUCCGGGAUGGGCUCGCGCACCAUCAGCUUGUUGGCGGGGUAACGGCCCACCAAGGCUUACGGUUAGCUGGUCUGAGAGGAUGACCAGCCCCACUGGGACUGAGAUACUGCCCAGACUCCUACGGGAGGCUGCAGUCGAGGAUCAUUCGCAAUGGGCGAAAGCCUGACGAUGCGACGCCGCGUGGAGGAUGAAGGCCUUCGGGUUGUAAACUCCUGUCAUGGGGGAAGAGGCGAGGGGACCCAAUACGUCCCUUAGUUGACUGUACCCCAAGAGGAAUGGGCGGCUAACUCUGUGCCAGCCGCCGC
rnacentral:rRNA from 1 species